UCACCCACCACGUCGUAGCACGUGCUGCUUGCUGCGGAGAGCCCAUCCUAACUAAACCUUUCGGCAAUUUUCAGAAUAGACGGGUGUCAGGAGACUCUGCACUUUCAAGUCGCUCGAAACUACAGGCCCUUGUUUUACUGCGAACUAUGGAUGCCGUAAUUUUCCCAAACACUUCUAAACAGGAAGCAGCCCUGCUUCGGACUGUCUGCCUCAUCAGUUCCCGAGUGUAAUUAAAUAACAAUAUGCGUAGUGUGAUGACUACAAUACCGUGAUCGCAAGUUACUUCCGAACAUCUCUUCAAACAUGUCGGACAGCAGGCCAACGAAAGGUACAACGCCCAGAAUUGCACAGCAAAAAGCUCACAAAAAUAAACGUAUCCAUGAUAGCUAAGGUGCAACCGCAACUAACGCCCAGAAUGCUGAAGCAGCUUCGCAUGGCUACAGUCUCAUUUACGCUGUUGGCAAGUUUGGCUGAUUGAAUAUAAUAAAUGAUACAAACGUC